CAAGGAAUUUUCGGCAAUGGGCGCAAGCCUGACCGAGCAACGCCGCGUGGUGGAUGACGGCCUUCGGGUUGUAAACACCUUUUGGGGGGGACGACAGCGACGGUACCCCCCGAAUAAGCCCCGGCUAACUCUGUGCCAGCAGCCGCGGUAAGACAGAGGGGGCAAGCGUUGUCCGGAGUUACUGGGCGUAAAGCGCACGCAGGCGGCACGGCACGUGAGGUGUGAAAGCGGGCGGCUUAACCGCCCGAGGCCAUCUCCUACGGCCGCGCUCGAGCCGUUCAGAGGUCCCUCGAAUUGCCGGUGUAGUGGUGAAAUGCGUAGAGAUCGGCAGGAAGACCCACGGGGAAGCCAGGGGACUGGGAACGUGCUGACGCUCAGGUGCGAGAGCGUGGGGAGCGAA
rnacentral:rRNA from 1 species